rnacentral:rRNA from 1 species
GAUGAACGCUGGCGGCGUGCCUAAUACAUGCAAGUCGAGCGGAAAGGCGCUGCUCUUGCUCGUCUCACGUGUGCCGAACGCGUGAGUAUAACGCGAGUAUCCUCUCCCUGUCUUUGUGAUAUCUUUUGGAAACUGGGGAGAUUAUCGCAUAGGAUAUAUUGCUGCACAGUGUGGGUUGGAGAGAGUCGGUUUUGCGGGAUCGUCUCGCGGCGUAUCAGCUAGUUGGUAGGGUUGCGGCUUACCAAGGUUAUGAUGGGUAGCAUGCCUGAGAGGGUGGUCGGCCACACUGGAAGUGAGACCCGGUCCAGAGUCCUACGGGAGGGAGCAGUAGGGAAUCUGGCGGAAUGGGGGGAAGAUUGACGGAGCAACGCCGCGGGAGUGAUGAAGGUCUUCGGGUCGGGAAACUCUGUUAUUAGGGAAGAACAAAUUUGUAAGUAACUAUGCACGUCUGGACGGUACCUGAUCAGAAAACCACGGCUAAAUACGUG